GGUGCUUGCACCAGAUGACGACCGGCGUACGGGUGCGUAACGCGUAUACAACCUACCUUUUGGCGGGGAAUAGCCCAGGGAAACUUGGAUUAAUGCCCCAUGGUAUGGUGAUCUCUCCUGAGAUUAUCAUUAAACAUUUAUGGCCGUUAGAUGGGUAUGCGUCCUAUUAGUUAGUUGGUAAGGUAACGGCUUACCAAGGCAGCGAUAGGUAGGGGUCCUGAGAGGGAGAUCCCCCACACUGGUACUGAGACACGGACCAGACUCCUACGGGAGGCAGCAGUGAGGAAUAUUGGACAAUGGGCGAGAGCCUGAUCCAGCCAUGCCGCGUGCAGGAAGACUGCCCUAUGGGUUGUAAACUGCUUUUACAGAGGAAGAACCACUCCCACGUGUGGGAGUUUGACGGUACUCUGCGAAUAAGGAUCGGCUAACUCCGUGCCAGCAGCCGCGGUAAUACGGAGGAUCCAAGCGUUAUCCGGAAUCAUUGGGUUUAAAGGGUCCGUAGGCGGGCAGUUAAGUCAGUGGUGAAAGUCUUCCGCUCAACGGGAGAACUGCCAUUGAUACUGAUUGCCUUGAGUUAUUAUGAAGUGGUUAGAAUGAGUAGUGUAGCGGUGAAAUGCAUAGAUAUUACUCAGAAUACCGAUUGCGAAGGCAGAUCACUAAUAAUAUACUGACGCUGAUGGACGAAAGCGUANGUAGCGAACAGGAUUAGAUACCCUGGUA
rnacentral:rRNA from 1 species